rnacentral:rRNA from 1 species
GACGAACCGAGCGAACGUUGUUCGGAAUCACUGGGCUUAAAGGGCGCGUAGGCGGGUGCUCAAGUCUGUGGUGAAAUCCUCCAGCUUAACUGGAGAACUGCCAUGGAUACUGGGUGUCUCGAGGAACGUAGGGGUAUGCGGAACGAUUGGUGGAGCGGUGAAAUGCGUUGAUAUCAAUCGGAACUCCGGUGGCGAAGGCGGCAUACUGGACGUUAUCUGACGCUGAGGCGCGAAAGCCAGGGGAGCAAACAGG